CAAUCAGCCGUCGAGUGCAAUGGCACAAGGGAGCUUGACUGCGAGACCUACAAGUCAAGCAGGUGCGAAAGCAGGGCAUAGUGAUCCGGCGGUUGCGUGUGGAAGCGCCGUCGCUCAACGGAUAAAAGGUACCCCGGGGAUAACAGGCUCAUCUUCCCCAAGAGUCCAUAUCGACGGGAAGGUUUGGCACCUCGAUGUCGGCUCAUCGCAUCCUGGGGGCUGAAGCAGGUCCCAAGGGUUGGGCUGUUCGCCCAUUAAAGCGGUACGCGAGCUGGGUUUAGAACGUCGUGAGACAGUUCGGUCCCCUAUCCUCUGCAGCCGGAAGGAACUUGAGAAAAAUCUGUCCCUAGUACGAGAGGACCGGGAUGGACGCAGCUCUCGUGUGCCAGUUGUCCUGCCAAGGGCACUGCUGGUUAGCGACCUGCGGAAGGGAUAAGCGCUGAAAGCAUCUAAGUGCGAAGCCCAUUUCUAGAUGAGGUUCCUCACUGGGUUAACCAGGUAAGGC
rnacentral:rRNA from 1 species